GUCACCCAGCCGACAAGUGGCAGAGCUGGGACUCGAACUCAUGACCUCUGACUCCCAAGCCCGGGCUCUUUCCAGGAUGGCAGCUCUGAAACGUGUUCAACCUUCAUGCAACACGUUACGCAUCACGGAGGAUGGAGGCAUAGAGGUUGUUCCACUGAUUGCUGUGGUUUCGCAACUUCGUCAAGAGUUCGAAGGACUCAAGCCGUCAACGCCGUUCGGAUCCGGAGAAGGAAAGGGCUCUCCGAAAGCGGAGGUGGAACCGAGGGGCGAAGGCAUGGAAAGAACUCCAACUGGCAGUCACGAUGAGGUAACUGAGGCACGGAGAAGUGAAGC